rnacentral:rRNA from 1 species
GCAUGGCGCGGCUACCAUGCAGUCGGACGGUAGCACAGGGGAGCUUGCUCCCCGGGUGACGAGUGGCGGACGGGUGAGUAAUGUCUGGGAAACUGCCCGGUGGAGGGGGAUAACUACUGGAAACGGUAGCUAAUACCGCAUAACGUCUUCGGACCAAAGUGGGGGAUCUUCGGACCUCACGCCACCGGAUGUGCCCAAAUGGGAUUAGCUAGUAGGUGGGGUAACGGCUCACCUAGGCGACGAUCCCUAGCUGGUCUGAGAGGAUGACCAGCCACACUGGAACUGAGACACGGUCCAUACUCCUACGGGAGGCAGCAAUGGGGAAUAUUGCACAAUGGGCGCAAGCCUGAUGCACCCAUGCCGCGUGUAUGAAGAAGGCCUUCGGGUUGUAAAGUACUUUCAGCGGGGAGGAAGGCGGUGAGGUUAAUAACCUCGCCCAUUGACGUUACCCGCAGAAGAAGCACCGGCUAACUCCGUGCCAGCAGCCGCGGUAAUACGGAGGGUGCAAGCGUUAAUCGGAAUUACUGGGCGUAAAGCGCACGCAUGCGGUCUGUUAAGUCAGAUGUGAAAUCCCCGGGCUUAACCUGGGAACUGCAUUUGAAACUGGCAGGCUUGAGUCUCGUAGAGGGGGGUAGAAUUCCAGGUGUAGCGGUGAAAUGCGUAGAGAUCUGGAGGAAUACCGGUGGCGAAUGCGGCCCCCUGGACUAACACUGACGCUCAAGUGCGAAAGCGUGGGGAGCAAACAGGAUUACAUACCCUGGUAGUCCACGCCGUAGACGAUGUCGACUUGGAGGCUGUUCCCCUGAGGAGUGGCUUCCGGAGCUAACGCGUUAAGUCGACCGCCUGGGGAGUACGGCCGCAAGGUAAAGUAAGA